ACAAGCGGCGGAGCAUGCGGAUAAUUCGAUGCAACGCGAAGAACCUUACCAAGGCUUGAUAUACACCGGUAACGCCCAGAGAUGGGUGCCCCUUUGUGGUCGGUGUACAGGUGGUGCAUGGUUGUCGUCAGCUCGUGUCGUGAGAUGUUGGGUUAAGUCCCGCAACGAGCGCAACCCUCGUCCUAUGUUGCCAGCGGGUCAUGCCGGGGACUCAUGGGAGACUGCCGGGGUCAACUCGGAGGAAGGUGGGGAUGACGUCAAAUCAUCAUGCCCCUUAUGUCUUGGGCUUCACGCAUGCUACAAUGGCCGGUACAAAGGGCUGCGAUACCGCGAGGUGGAGCGAAUCCCAGAAAGCCGGUCUCAGUUCGGAUUGGGGUCUGCAACUCGACCCCAUGAAGUCGGGGUCGCUAGUAAUCGCAGAUCAGCAACGCUGCGGUGAAUACGUUCCCGGGCCUU
rnacentral:rRNA from 1 species